CCGGCUGCGCGCCCCACCGCCUCACGGCCCCACCCAGCCUCUGGGCGUGUGUGGCCGUUUGCGGGAAGCGCCUUCCUAGGCCGUCCCUCAGCCCCCUGCCCCGGCCCGCGGCCUCAGCCCGUAUUCUGGUGGCGCCGCCCCGUCCACAGGGCAACCCCCGUUCCCGCAAUUCCUUCCCUUUCAGGUGUGGCCGGUGGGGGACGGCGGUGGUCAGGGUGGGGCAUGAUCAGGAGCACGUGGGCCUGGGACCCCGGACCGUGGGGAUUAGAGGUUUCGUGGAAAGAAGCUGCAGUUCCUGUUCAGAGGCAUAAGUCCCUGCCGGAAAUGGUCUUGGGAAAGACUGGUUGAGUGUGGCAAGGGCUGGAAAACCUGGAAUUUCAUGGAGGGAAGGAGGAUCUUCAGCCUUUCCUGAGGCACAGCUCCUCUCAAUAGCUGUCGGAUGCAUAGAUAGAUGAAUGGCCGAGAAGACGGAUGGGGAGGUGAACCUGCAGGUAAAAAAGCAGAACGGAGGGGAGUGAUUACAACAGACUCCAAGGAAGAAAGGAGCUUGGAAUCAGGACUGGCUCCAGACACAGACUAGUAGGUAGCUGCCUGUGACACAAUUGCAGGGUCACUAGGAAGGCACUCCCCCCACCGUGGCUCCAGUGCCUCACAUCCCUUUUACAAAAGGAGACAAAGCCUUCUGUUCCCUGAAGUGUACAGAGCUCAGGCAUGAAUCCCAUGUUCCUGGAGAGGGAAGAAGUGCUCAGAGGGUUACCCUCAUUCAUGCUAAGGGGUAAAUGACUGAGAGAGCCUUUCCUAAGAGCAAAUUGUGAUGGGAGGCUAUGUGUGUGGAGGAAGGGAGAGGAAAUUAGGGAGAGAGGCCAGGACCCAAAAUGGGCAAAAGACACAGACAAAGGAGUCUUAGGGCCUGAGGCCAACGUUGACCGGACGUGUCAUUUUGCUUUUGCUGCGCUCAGUCCUAUUGUGUAGGACAACCUUCUUGGUAAAUCGGGUUCCGCAAAUAUUUGACGUCUGGAAAACUUUCAACAAAGAUGGCGUUCGGAAGCCUGGCUCGGAGGCCCCAGGAUGACAACCUAAUUACAUUCCUUUUAAUAGCUCCUUCCCAAGUGCUCAGUCAGGGACAUCUGCUGUGCCGCGGUUGCACCUUCAGGGAGGAAUAUUUUUAUCCCCGCGAUGCCACAAAAGGAAACUUCUGAAGGCUGGAUGAAAAUGGCCUCUGCGUUCCCAGAGCCUCAGGGCCCAGGUAGGUAGGGCCUAACACUCUCCCCACACCCCUCCACCCCCAAAACAGGGCCAGGCUCCUUUUCACAAGCAGAGGAGGCGCUGACUGCCUAGGAAGUGGUGGUUGUUAUGGGUGUGUGUUUAAAAUUUUCCUUUCGCAGUUUUCCCAGAGGUACCUACAACAUGCCAGGCUGCCUCACCCAGUUUUCCAUGUAAGUGGGGUGUCAACAUAACAACUAAGGCUGACGCCAGGCCUCACUGCUCAGUGGGACCCUGUCACCGCUUCUACCCAUUAACUGUUCUUACCCUACAGCCCAGCUGAGGAUCCCCAACACAGACCUUUGUUAUGACAGAGGAAGGAAAGGGGGAGACAAACCAAGAAAGAGCAGGAUUUCUGUGGUUUGUUUCAUAGGUGAUUAGCUUGCUAGGAAGGCCAAGGGCUGAUAGGCUAAAGUAGGAGAUGUGUCUUUUGAGGGUCCCUGGGAUCAAUGAAUAAAAUGCAAGGAGCCCCAGAUAUGCAUCUACUCCAUAUUCUCUCCUCCUCUUCUGCGGACAAGUUCCCUGCAUCCCGGAAAGGUAAAUGGACUUGCUCAAGGAGUUAACAUUGCCACCUGGGUUGACUCAUCUCUCUUUUUUUUUCUCUUUUUUUGUGGUACACGGGCCUCUCACUGCUGUGGCCUCUCCCGUUGCGGAGCACAGGCUC